UAUCUUUGCAAAAAUUUUGGUUUCCAUUAAUUUGGAAUGAAAAGGGAAUUGGGCGAAAAUCCCAAACUGUCCCCGCAACUGUAAAUCGCAUAUAAGAUUUCUACGAUAAAACCACUGUGAAAACGGGAAGGUGUAGAAAGCGAAAGUCAGGAGACCUGCCAAAAUGUAAUCUUAAAA
rnacentral:ncRNA from 1 species